GGUAACUAGUGGAAAGCAAUUUAUCCAUUAAGCAGUUUAUUACAAACUUUAAAGAGACAUAUAGACAAUGACAUUAUUUUACCCAAGAUUCAUCUA